GCGACUGCUGCCUAUGAUUACAUUUGCUGUCUGAAAAUAUCUGUAUGUAGAUUUUCCUCAGCAUUCGUCACUACCACUGAGGCAGCAAUCCU
rnacentral:snoRNA from 1 species